AAAACAUUUUUUGAGACUUUCAUAAUUUCAUUGUUUUUCCUUUCAGAUUUGCAUUCGGAUGGAGUGUGAUUUGUUCUUUAGUCUGACGCCGUCUGACCAACAUCGCCAGGAAGCCGUCGAGCCUCUUUUCAUUCCCGGGUGUGUUUGAUUUGCCUUUUUGCCUCCCAGGAGGGCGGGGUUUAGCAGUUAGUCCCGUAGCUCCGCCGUGUCACCUAGUUGUGUGUGUGUGCGCGUCCUCUUUUAUCUCGGCUCGUCUCUGGAAUAAGCCCAGUUCUGUAGUUCGUAAAUAUUUUGGAACCAAAACAAGCGUAGAAAGACGAGGUCGCUCACUUCCACGUCCCGCUGAGGAGGCCCCCAGCAGGGCCCUCAGGUGAGGCCCUCACCUGAGCAAUGCAGAUGUUACUGCGCGCUGACGUUCGAUAUGUUUGAAAAGCAGAACUACAAGAAAUGAUCACAGAAAAUCAACCUGUGACACAUCGACGAAUGUAAUAAGUAGUAUUGAUAUUUGGUUUAAAGCAUAAACAUUGGUUUUGAUAAAUAAAUCUUUUAUUUAAGGAAUUGUGACCCAGACUUGGUGGAAAACUCUGACAUCACGCCUAUUUCUUCAUUUCUUGUUUCUUAUUGGUCAACAAAUACCAUGUCAGAACAUGGCAUGGUAUGAGAUGUCAGAACAUAAUUCUAUUUAAGAACAUGUCUCCAUUAAAGUUUGAGAGCAAAGACAAAAUAAUUUUUUGUGCACAGUAAAAUUUCCAGUUCAGUUCAUCGCUCGGUCACAAUUCUUUAAUGAACAAAUUUAAAUUAAAAAUGUGAUUUGGAUUUUUUGGGCCUCAAAAGUUGAAAACAAGUUUUUGCACAGAAACGUAAUAUUGAAUACAUUUUCUGAAUAGAUGUUACAUUUGAUAUUUUCUACCAUCAGGAGGCAUUCAGUCAUUUUCAUUUUUAGGUUGUGAAGAAAUACGUCUCAUGUUCCUAAAGUUUUAAGCUGGAAGUUGUGAAUUAAAUUCCAUUUCUGAUCAAUUUCCCUUUUGAGCCACUAAUUGUUUCAGCUGUAAUCAUUUAUUUCACCAGGUUAAACUGACAUUUCCACACGUGGAACCACAUGCGCUUCCAUCUUCCAACACUAUUAGAAAUACUUCAGAUUAGAACCGCCGCAAUGUAUUUUUCAACAAAUACCCCAUCUGAUGUUUAAUUAAGACGCGCUAGGAUUUGAUUUUGUUUGAGUGUUUAAAUUCAGCUCAGGAAUCCAGCACUGAGUUUGUUUGCUUCACCUUUUAAUUUAAAUGAAACUAAAUGUAUCUACAGUAGUUUGGUUUGGCUCCAAUAGCUGGUUCUACUUGGAUCCUGUUCAAAGAUUUAUAGAUUUGUAUAUUUGUUGAGCUGUAAAUCACAUGUCAUAUGUCGACGCAGUUUUAUAGUUUCAUAUCAGUAAAUCAUAGUUUGCAUGUUUCUUAAAUCACCGUCUCCCAAACAUUUCCCACUGAGUGGCGACGUGAAUGAAAUUCCAUAGAAGACAGUGAAAUGUCAGAUGCAUGCUGGGAGGACCGAGGUCAUGACCUCACGAGGUGACCAGAGCUGCAACCAAUGAUUACUUUUAUUCUCAAUUAACGUGACAAUUCUCUUCUAUAAUAAAUGUCCACAAUCUAAAUAUAUUGUAUUCUUUUUUAUUUGCUCAGCUCGAGCUGGUACAGUUCACUAAACCGUUUAACUUAGUUACAAUAUUGUUUCAAUUAAAGUUUGAGAAGUUGUUUACAAACCGUUUUAUGGCACGUUGCAUUCUGGGAAAUGCAGUCCCCUCUCUGGUCGACUCCUGGUCCGUUCUCAACAUUUCUGGAUCUUUCUGAUAUUCAUUUGAUUGAUUGAUUGAAUUGGACCCCAAAAGUGUGUGUGUGUGUGUGUGUGUGUGUGUGUGUGUGUGUGUGUGUGUGUGUGUGUGUGUGUGUGGUAGUGCUUCUAUUCCUGGGAGAUCUAAAUCUAUAUAAAAGUUAUCCUGUAUUUUUGUUGAUUCAUUGUUUGGACAAUGUGAUAAGUUAUUACACGAUUGUCGUUACGCAUCAUAUUUUUGUAUAAAAAUUCUAACGGAGGAAACCCGGUGAACUUCCCGAUCUUGGAGGCUCUAACGUGAUUGGACGUCUUGGAGAAGCGUACGAAGGUCUAAACAGACGUCUGGACGACAUGAACCAACACCAUAAAUGUUUUGUUGAUCAUCUUUUGCUGUUCGCUGUGGGAUCAAUGAGAAUAAUGUUAAUAAUAAUGAGUUCAUCCAUUCUGGGGGUACUGUGUUUGUCUUUUAUUUUCAAAAUAAAAGUAGUCAAAUUA